CAUUUCCCUAAUGGUCUUGCC
rnacentral:siRNA from 1 species